AGGAUGAACGCUAGCGACAGGCUUAACACAUGCAAGUCGAGGGCAGCAUAAAAGUAGCAAUACUUGGUGGCGACCGGCGCACGGGUGAGUAACGCGUAUGCAACCUACCUAUCAGAGGGGAAUAACCCGGCGAAAGUCGGACUAAUACCGCAUAAAACAGGGACACCGCAUGGUGAUAUUUGUUAAAGAAAUUCGCUGAUAGAUGGGCAUGCGUUCCAUUAGGUAGUUGGUGAGGUAACGGCUCACCAAGCCGACGAUGGAUAGGGGAACUGAGAGGUUGGUCCCCCACACUGGCACUGAGACACGGACCAGACUCCUACGGGAGGCAGCAGUGAGGAAUAUUGGUCAAUGGGCGAGAGCCUGAACCAGCCAAGUCGCGUGAAGGAAGAAGGAUCUAUGGUUCGUAAACUUCUUUUGCAGGGGAAUAAAGUGCAGGACGUGUCCUGUUUUGUAUGUACCCUGAGAAUAAGGAUCGGCUAACUCCGUGCCAGCCGCCGC
rnacentral:rRNA from 1 species